CAUUCCCAGUGGCACGAAUGCAUCUUAAAAAUGUAUUUUUGAUGUUCAGAUUUCAAAAUGUCAUUGGGAUGACUUCCACCAGAUACACACAUCUUGGCUAUCUGGCUUAAAGUCAGUGUCUGUUGAACCUUAAUGUGUCUAUGGGCUGGGGUCUGCUGGCAGGAAACUGUUGUUUGGUUCUUUCCCCAUAUUUCAUCAAUUCUUCUGCUGAAGCACAGUGUUUGCAAAGGGGAUAUAAGAUACAACAAAUCAGAUUGUAUUUUAGACUGAAAUUAAUUUAUGAUGUGAAAUGAUCAUGAGCUCAUAUGGACUACAGGAUUUUGGUCAGUUUUAACUGGACAGUAUUUUAUAUUAAAUUAUUUAUAUGUAAUGGAAAACCACAUUCUGUAUUUUCUAGCAUAAUCUAUUUUUCUUUCUCUGCACAGACUGCUCAAUCUAGGCAAGUGGUUUGGGAAAGAAAAUCAGUUUCCCUUUGGGGUGUCUCUGACUGUGCCUUUCAGGUAAGCAGUUUAUAAAUAGUUUAUUUGUAAAGCCAGGAAAAUUUCAAGAAGAUAUGGAAUUUUACUCAUCUAGUUGUUGAAAAGAAGAGCAAUACAGCACCACCCAAGUGAGUUUCUGCUGUUUACCUUGGUAUACAUUCCCCUUCAUCAGCAUAUCGAUAAUAUUCAGUGUUUCAUGGAUGAAUUGACAUUGCCAUAGAAUUUUGAAAAAUUAAAGAGCUUUUUUAAAUAAUAAAUUGAAAUAAAAAGAAUAAUUUUGCCAUGUAUUUGUUCUCACUAAGAAGGUCUGAAGAAACUCUUUCUGACACAUUAGCCCUCAUCCCAAUUGCACCCCUCCUUGAUUCAGCACAGAGCAGAGGGCUGAAUGUUCAAGUUCAAUUCAACCCUUAGGAAAAAUGAUUGCUCAGCUGGGCUGAUGUGUUCAAGAAAUAAAAGUCUCUCCUGCUAAUUCUAGAAGUAAAGCAAAUAUGUGCCUUUAUUGUUUGCACAGUGCAAGCUUCCAUUUAGUUAGGAUCAGAUGGCUGUCAAAAGAAAAAAAAGAAAAAACCCAUCUUCCUAUGGAAAAAAGAAAAUUUAAGUUAAAGGUAAAAUAGUUUGUGCAAUUCAUUUUCCCAGACUUUUUACCCUAAAGUGAAAUUUUAUAGGUUUCAAAACACCAUAAUAUUUUUUAAGCUCCUCUACCUUGGCCAAAACCUUCUGAAGAGCCAUGUUUUCUUUCUGAAGGGGUAUGAAAUGAUAUUCUUACUUUAGAGGUGUCUUUCCUAAAUAAGGAGGAUUUUAAAUGUGAUUCAUUAUCCAAAAUAUUUCUGUGUCAGAAGAAUGGGUAGUAAAGAUAACAGCCAUUGUAAUUUGGAAUUAGGUUACUUGAAACUCGGUUCUUGACCAGAUUACAGUCAAAUAGGAAUUUCCUCUACUUACAGGAAAACUGAGGCUUUGACAUGAUAUAACCAGGCUCAAUUUAUAUGAUUGCUUUUAAUUUUUUGAACAAAUGCAUGAGUGGCAUGAUAAGUGCAAAAAUAACUGUCCAGAAAGCCAAAUAUAAGGGAUGGAGAUUAUGAAUGUUAAAAGAAGAAAAGUGUAAUCAGAAAUGCCAAAACAGGCAGAGGUGGGCAUCAGAUACCCCAGCUACACAGCAGUCGCUGUGCCAGCAGCUCGCAACCCUUCCAGCAGACCAGCGUGCCGGUGCGCCUCCCUCCAGCUGUGCGGCACGACCUUUGCCAUGCCAGAGUUGCCAAGGAGGCUGUGCCUGCUUGUGCCCUUAACGCAGCCGGGAGUAAAAAGAGAGAUGGGUUUGCUGGAAAUCCUCUCCUUCCCUCACAGAUAGGUACUCCCCUGUGCACUGAUCACAUUCUUCUGAAACUGGGAUUCGGAGCAUAAGACUACUUCUGUUUAAAUACCACAGCUGUGAUUUUGGAUGAAGGACCUUAUUACUCUUUCUGUUUAGAAAAUGGAAGGUGGCACCCACCGUUUGUAUGACAUUCUAGAACUAAAAUGUGUUUAAGUUUUGAAAUAAUUUUGAUGUUCCUGUCUGCCCCACGGCUCCUCCUCUGUCAUCUUUCUUCACAGCCCUUUGUGCCUGUGCCCUCCCAGUUCCCCAGAGCUGCUGUGCCAGUCUCAUCAGCUGCUUCCUUAUCCUCUCUCUUUGAAACAACGAUUUCUAUGUUUUUUCUGCCAAGUGUGUUGCAAACUCAAGAGUGAGACCAGGAGAGAGGACCUCCCUCUGGUCAUUCCUUGUGUUCGUUCCCACCAGCAAGAGAACCGUAGCCAGAUAGCCAGAUUGGGCAGAUUUUCUUGGGCAUAUUGUUCCUGCCUGAUGUUAGUGCAGCCUUCCUGCCAAAUUUCAAGCCUUUGAUAUAAAGAUUGGAGGCAAGGUUAGAUCUUUUCAAUGAAGGAGUACAUUUUCAUGGCGUAAUCCAAGUAUAUAUGUAAUUCCUGACACAUCUAUUGUGAGUGACCUCUGAUGUUUUCCAAAUCUUUGUUGUUGGAUUCAAACACCAUUUUUUCAUUCAAGUAUUCUUUUAAUAUUAAAUUGUAUAUGUCUGCAUCUAAAAACAUGUAUUUAUCCCUGUUCCAAUGCUGUUUUUCAGUUCUGAAGGAAACUAAACUUGAUUACAAGAGUUUUAUUCCCUUCCCUGUACAUUUUAAAAGGAAGUACACUUGGUUCUGCACGCAAUGAGGUAACAGACAUAUAUUGUUACAGACAUAAACACUUUUCAAAUGAGUAUAAAGGAAAGCAUCGCCUUCCACUGUCAAUACAGUGUCGAGACUGAUUGUAUUUUAAUUUGAUGUUUGCCACCUGCAUGUCUCAUAGAAAGCACUAAACACUAAACCAGUAGAGUAAGAAAAACAAAUCCCUGACUUUUUGCCUUGCCAUAAUAGAGCUGGAGUUAUUUCAGGAACAAGCUGGAUUGGUUUUCCCUGGGACUCAAAAAUAUAUGAGAGACCAUGGUUUCCAAAAAAGCAUCAAAAGAAAUGAAAAGACAGCACUGGAAGAGAGAGUAAGACCCUUCCCAGAUGCUUGGUUGUUUUGCACUGGGUUAUGCUUGACUGGACCACGGGAACAUGCAGUUCCAUCGACAGCUACAGCUCGUCCCGUGGUUGCUGACAAAUCCACACCUCCCAGUGAGAAAAAAAGCAGCAGAGACUGAUAAAAAUGGAUUCUUGAGAGCAGUAUCUUUGUUAGGGAAACACAAUAUAUUUAAGCAUAGCAUUCCUAUCAUCAGCUAUAGCUACAGUGCUAUAUUAUCUCACCUUUCCCCUGGGAAGGUCUGCUAAGGACACAUCAGCAACACCAAGUCCAGAUGUUCAUCUUUCCCCCUCAUUGAGUAUAAAGGACAAACUCAGGAUGACUACCACCAGCUUCUGGUAUG